rnacentral:lncRNA from 1 species
GGAGUAGCACCCUCUAUUGAUGGUCCAGUUCUUCUGUAUUGACAGCAAUACUGGAGCCAUAGCUCAAGCUGAAGAACUGAUAUUCCAUCUGAGGAUCAAAUAUAUUCUGCAUUACAAUCAUCUUGUUCGAUAAGAUUGAAAUAAAGUCGACCUUAGGAAGAUCGACUGAAAGGAGAACUUGAUCAAUCCAUUGACUAGAGCAUUCGGAUCUAAUGAGUUC